UCAAAUACUAAAUUAUCUUCA
rnacentral:piRNA from 1 species